AUUGAACGCUGGCUGCAGGCCUAACACAUGCAAGUCGAACGAGUGGCGGACGGGUGAGUAACGUCUGGGAAACUGCCUGAUGGAGGGGGAUCACUACUGGAAACGGGAGCUAAUACCGCAUACCAUCAGAUGUUCCCAGAUGGGAUUAGCUAGUGGGUGUGGUAACGGCGCACCAAGGCGACGAUCCCUAGCUGGUCUGAGAGGAUGACGAGACCAACUGGAACUGAGACACGGUCCAGACUCCUACGGGAGGCAGCAGUGGGGAUUAUUGCACAAUGGGCGCAAGCCUGAUGCAGCCAUGCCGCGUGUAUGAAGAAGGCCUUCGGGUUGUAAAGUACUUUCAGCGGGGAGGCGUUACCCGCAGAAGAAGCACCGGCUAACUCCGUGCCAGCCGCCGCGGUAAUUC
rnacentral:rRNA from 1 species